GGCGUUUCUCGUGGUGUCUUGUGGGAGUGGCGGUGCGAUCCCUCUCAGACUUGUGAGUCCCUGCUGGAGUCAGAAGUUUUAGGCGAAUCCCAGGCGCGCCAAGGAAAGUGCUACAAAAGCCAUCCAUCUUGCAAGCGUUGGUGCCGAGGCGCAACGCUGAGAACGCAAAUACUAAAGGGCGCUGUUCUUUCCUCGUGGAGCUCACAGUCCGCUGGGGAGACCGUGAGAUGACAGCAGAGAAACUAGCGCGAUCAGUAGUACUCAGCGCAAGGACAGCGAGCAGAGAAGGCAAACCUAGUGCUUGCUAAGGAAGACUUCACAGAGGAGUCACACCUUAAAAAAAAAAGGAGGGGUUAUUCCUGCUUUUGCCGUGCUGUGAUCCAGGGCAGAGUUUCUCGUCAACCAGUAAAACAUCCAGUAACACAGCCAAUGGAAAUAAAUGAAUGGGUCUCUGUUUAUAGUGAAGAUUCUUUCGUUCUCCAGCUCCAGGCUUCAUACGGUAAAACUCUCUGGGAAGGAAAGGAACUCAGAGUCCCAUGCAGAAAAUUGUUCAGCUGGAGGGGUAUCAGAAAGAUGGAUUUCCAAAGCCAACUGUUUCCUGUAGUGUGUGGAUCUCUGCAAGCAGAGCCUCAUCUUUCAAUUUCAGCUACAUGAAAGAGGAAGAAAGGGAAAGAUAUAUGUCAUACGUGAUAUACUUUAUGUGGCUUUGAAGACCCCUCUUUUGUGGGGCUACGGCUAAAGAACAUAGUUCCCUGGGAUGGAAUUGGCUCUUCCUAUUUCCCUACUUCAUGAAAACUCCAGUAGAAGACCUUAGAACCUUGUCCUGGUUACAUGGAUAUGUUUACUUUGUGAAAAUUCAUCAAGCACUAUGCACGGUCAUGAUUUGUACAUUUUUUUGUAAGAUAACUUCAUUAAAAUUUACUUUUUUUAUUUUUAAAAA
rnacentral:lncRNA from 1 species